rnacentral:rRNA from 1 species
AGUCAAACGGUAACAGGUCUUCGGACGCUGACGAGUGGCGAACGGGUGAGUAAUACAUCGGAACGUGCCCAGUCGUGGGGGAUAACUACUCGAAAGAGUAGCUAAUACCGCAUACGAUCUGAGGAUGAAAGCGGGGGACCUUCGGGCCUCGCGCGAUUGGAGCGGCCGAUGGCAGAUUAGGUAGUUGGUGGGAUAAAAGCUUACCAAGCCGACGAUCUGUAGCUGGUCUGAGAGGACGACCAGCCACACUGGGACUGAGACACGGCCCAGACUCCUACGGGAGGCAGCAGUGGGGAAUUUUGGACAAUGGGCGAAAGCCUGAUCCAGCAAUGCCGCGUGCAGGAUGAAGGCCUUCGGGUUGUAAACUGCUUUUGUACGGAACGAAAAAGCUUCUCCUAAUACGAGAGGCCCAUGACGGUACCGUAAGAAUAAGCACCGGCUAACUACGUGCCAGCAGCCGGGGGUAAUACA